AGUUAAUGAGCUUGAACAAGCAUAUGUUUUGAAAACAUAAGAUAGAGAUAUUCUAUUAACUU
rnacentral:tRNA from 1 species